AUGCCACCCCUCGCAGCCUCCCAUUGUUGUCGCAGGGAGCUGGCAGCAGGGGCACUUGUGGCAGGGGCAGCGUGCGGAGGAGCCGCCGAGCGUGCUUGCAGCGUUGUUAAAGAGCAGUUACAGUUACUGCAGAACAGUUACAGCGCAGCUGGUAACACGGCCGUGGGUUUUUUUGCUACUCGUACGCCUGUGCAUCAGUGUACACGCUCGCCCUUCUUGACUAAUAUUCCUGAGGUCUUGUACAUCAUUCCUCAUCCGAAUCCACUGGCUCUCCUGCUCACAGGCAGCUCCUCGGUCUCAGGAUCCUCACUGACUGUGAAUGCAGCUGGGAACACGGCCUCCCUCCAACUUUUUUGA
rnacentral:lncRNA from 1 species